UACGUAGGGGGCAAGCGUUGUCCGGAUUUAUUGGGCGUAGAGCGUGUAGGCGGCCAUGUAGGUCCGUUGUGAAAACUCGAGGCUCAACCUCGAGACGCCGAUGGAAACCAUGUGGCUAGAGUCCGGAAGAGGAGAGUGGAAUUCCUGGUGUAGCGGUGAAAUGCGCAGAUAUCAGGAGGAACACCGGUGGCGAAGGCGGGUCUCUGGGCAGUAACUGACGCUGAGGAGCGAAAGCGUGGGGAGCGAACAGG
rnacentral:rRNA from 1 species